GAUUAACGCUGGCGGCGUGCAUAACACAUGCAAGUCGAACGAUGAAACUUAAAUGAUUUCUUCGGAAUGAACUUAAGUGGAUUAGUGGCGGACGGGCGAGUAACGCGUGAGUAACCUGCCUUACACAAGGGGAUAGCCGUUGGAAACGACGAAUAAUACCCUAUGAAACUAUCACUUCGCAUGAAGCGAUAGUCAAAGUGUUAGCGGUGUAAGAUGGACUUGCGUCUGAUUAGCUAGUUGGUGAGAAAAAAGCCCACCAAGGCAACGAUCAGUAGCCGGCUUGAGAGAGUGUACGGCCACAUUGGGACUGAGACACGGCCCAGACUCCUACGGGAGGCAGCAGUGGGGAAUUUUGCACAAUGGGGGAAACCCUGAUGCAGCGACGCCGCGUGAUUUAGAAGGCCUUCGGGUUGUAAAAAUCUUUUGUAUAGGAAGAAAAUGACAGUACUAUACGAAUAAGGUCCGGCUAAUUACGUG
rnacentral:rRNA from 1 species